rnacentral:tRNA from 1 species
GGCGAACAUAACUCAGGUGGUAGAGUGUCAGUUUGUGGUUCUGAAAGCCGCAGGUUCAAGUCCUGCUGUUCGCC